GUGAUCACUCAACAACACAUAUACUAAAAUUGGAACGAUACAGAGAAGAUUAGCAUGGCCCCUGUUCAUGGAUGACACACAAAUUUGUGAAGCACCCCAUAUUUUU